GCCGGUGUAGCUCAGUUGGUAGAGCAGCUCAUUCGUAAUGAGCAGGUCGCGGGUUCGAGUCCCUUCACCGGCUCCA
rnacentral:tRNA from 1 species